rnacentral:rRNA from 1 species
UACGUAGGGGGCAAGCGUUGUCCGGAAUCAUUGGGCGUAAAGAGCGUGUAGGUGGCUCGGUAAGUCCGCUGUGAAAGUCCAGGGCUCAACCCUGGAAUGCCGGUGGAAACUGUCGAGCUCGAGUCCGGAAGAGGCGAGUGGAAUUCCUGGUGUAGCGGUGAAAUGCGCAGAUAUCAGGAGGAACACCAAUGGCGAAGGCGGUUCUCUGGGACGGUACUGACGCUGAGACGCGAAAGCGUGGGGAGCGAACAGG